rnacentral:rRNA from 1 species
UGAAACUGGGAGUCUUGAGGGCAGGAGAGGAAAGUGGAAUUCCUGGUGUAGCGGUGAAAUGCGUAGAAAUCAGGAGGAACACCGGUGGCGAAGGCGACUUCCUGGACUGUCCCUGACGCUG